GUUGCCCCUAGAGGCGUUGCAGGUUGCGCUGUACGUGUGGCACUUGCGUCAUUAGGCGGCAGAGACAAACCCACGGCUGAGUCUACGCUCGGGGCCCUGACUGUGGGCAGUCUGAAUGGUUUCCAGCCGAACACU
ensembl:snoRNA